CACGUAGGGGACGAGCGUUGUCCGGAUUCAUUGGGCGUAAAGAGCUCGUAGGCGGCUUGUUGCGUCGUCCGUGAAAACCUGUGGCUCAACUACAGGCUUGCGGUCGAUACGGGCGGGCUGGAGUUCGGUAGGGGAGACUGGAAUUCCUGGUGUAGCGGUGAAAUGCGCAGAUAUCAGGAGGAACACCGGUGGCGAAGGCGGGUCUCUGGGCCGAUACUGACGCUGAGGCGCGAAAGCCAGGGGAGCGAACGGG
rnacentral:rRNA from 1 species